GUCUUAGCCUCCAAAAGUGCGGGGAUUACAGGCAUGAACCACUGCUCCUGACCAAAAAUACAUUUUUAAUACUCACAAAUUCUUAAUUAUUUCACUAAAUUUGCUUUCAUCUAUGUUCUUGAAGUCAUUUAUGCCAUUUGUAUCUAUAUGUUGAAAACAGUAUAUAAUGAUAUGUUGAUGUGCAUUUCUUCCCAACUCUGCCUUCAGUGAUAUUAUGUUAGUGAUUUGUAAUUGGCAUAACGUGUUUACAUCACAGAAAUUGGAAAUAAUAAAGGCAUGAUUUAUUAUGUUGAUUGUCUAGAUUAUGAGCUAGCAAACUUUCUGUAA
rnacentral:lncRNA from 10 species